GUGCUGGCUUUGGCAUCACCUAUACUAAAAUUGGAAUAAUACAGAGAAGAUGAACAUGGCUCCUGCUCAAGGAU
rnacentral:snRNA from 1 species